UACACAUAUGCGAACAUACAUAUUACAUGUACGCAUUGAUUUUAACUCUAACGUAUAAAUUAUUUUCGCCACUGUGAAAGAUAAGGUUAAGGAAAGAAUUAUAACUCAAGCGAUCUCAAGAUGGCGGUAAUAAAAAAAGAAAGAAGAGGAGUCUGGUAAUAGUCAUCUUGAUAACUUCUUCAAGGACGUCGAAAUUGCGUUGCAUACCAACGCAUGUAUUUCCUAAUUAUUAUAUCUUAGACGCAGGCCCAAGCACGACCUAGACUCUAGUUUCAGGCUUGGUUUACGUCGAAUUAGAUAUUGUUUCGGUUAAUGCUUCCCUCUAUUGAAUAGAACUUGUUCUAGGUUUUUGCUUUAAGCUCUUAAAUGUUAAAAAAACUUCGCUUAUGAGCUGAGAAGAUCUUUAAUCUUCGCUAUCUGCUAAUUGAACAUUAUUAAAAAUUACUUACAUGAUUUACAAAAAACAAAGUUAAACGAGUGUACUGGAAGUGUAGAAUGAAGAAGAAAGCUUCUAAUAUUACGCUCGUGUGCGAUGUGUGUAAUACGUAACAUUUCAAAGGAAUGCAUGCUUUUAAAAAACAGUAAUUUAAAAACUAUUUUUUUCUUUAAUAUGCAUCAGGAUGCAACAUACAAAAUAAGUACUAAAUGAAGAAUAUAAUGAUAAUGCUGAACAUAUUGAUAUUAAUACAUAGUUUCCAUUAUAAACCUUAUAAAUAAAUACUAUAAUUUAUGAAUUUAGUAUAGAA